AUGUCCAUGGAUCGGGCAACGGGCGCCAUGGGCUCCCUGCUCUCCAAGCUACUCGAGCUCCUCAACGAGGAGUACAAUCUGCAGAAGGGCGUCAAGGAAGGCGUUAGAUCUCUUGAGGAAGAGAUGAGGAGCAUGCAAGCUGUCCUCCAAGUGGUGGGAGAGGUGCCGCGGGACCAGCUCGAUGUCCAGGUCAAGCUCUGGGCAGGGGAGGUCAGGGAGCUCUCCUUCGACAUGGAGGACGUCGUCGACAAGUUCUUGGUGCAUGUCGAUGACGACUCUGAGUCUGCAGCCAAUUCGAAUAAGCUCACACAGCUCACCGAGAAGUUUGCAGGCUUGUUCACUAAAGGGAAGGGUCGCCAUGGGAUCUCCGUUGCGAUCAAGGUCAUCAAUAAGCAAGUCCAAGAGGUUGCUAAAAGGCGUGCAAGGUACAAUGUCGACAAUAUUGUCAUCAGGCCUGCAGUUGUGUCACCUGAUCCUCGCCUUUGGGCUGUCUACACGGAAGUGACAGAGCUUGUUGGUAUUGCUAGAAAAAGGGAAGAGCUGAUGAAGUUGCUCUCGGUGAGGGACAUGUCCAAGAAAAAGAUGAAGAUUCUCUCCAUUGUCGGUUUUGUGGGGUUAGGCAAGACCACUCUUGUCAAAAAGGUAUAUGACAAGAUCAAAGGAGAUUUCGAUUGCAGUGCUUUUGUUUGUAGCGGUCCAAAGGCUGACCCAAAGAAGGUUUUGAUGGACAUCCUUGUGCAUCUUGGUGUAUAUGAAAAUCAGCUCACCCUAUUGGAUGAAAAAUGCCUCAUUAACAAACUCCGUGAAAGUCUAGAGAACAAGAGGUACCUCAUUGUAAUUGAUGAUAUAUGGGAUGAAACAUUGUGGAGAGUCGUCAACUGUGCAUUCUCUAAUAGUAACAAUUUAGGCAGUCGGAUAAUCACGACAACUCGUAUAAUCAGUGUAUCUAAAUUAUGUUCCUCGUCUGCAAAUGAUUCAGUCUAUCAAAUGCAACCUCUUAAUGAUGAUGAUUCAGAAAGUCUCUUCUAUAAAAGGAUUUUUCCUCACGAGAGUGGUUGUCCUUAUGGACUUGAGGAGGCGUCCAUAGCUAUACUGAAUAAAUGUGGUGGGGUGCCAUUAGCCAUCCUUACUGCAGCGAGUCUUUUGGCUAGUAAUCAGCAAAUAAAAACGAAGGAUCAGUGGCAUGUUUUGCUACAGUCUAUUGGUCAUGGACUUACCGAAGACCCUCAUACAAAUGAGAUGCUGAGGAUAGUAUCGUUUAGCUAUUUUGACCUUCCUUCUUAUCUGAAGACAUGUUUACUAUAUCUAAGCAUGUUUCUGGAUGAUCAAGAGAUUGGCAAAGAUCGAUUGAUAUGGAUGUGGAUUGCCGAAAGUUUUGUCCAAUACCAAACAGCAAAAAGUAGUCUCUUUGAGAUUGGAGAAACUUACUUCAAUGAGCUAGUGAACAGGAGCCUGAUCCAGCCGGUAUAUGAUUAUCGUGGCAUUGUAUGUGCCUGUCGUGUACACGCAAUUGUGCUUGAUCUGAUUUGCGGCUUGUCAAGUGAAGAGAACUUUGCUACUAUGUUGAACGGUACUGGUGAUAUGAUGUAUUGUCCGACCACGAUACGCAGGUUGUCCCUCCAGAAUGCAAGAAAAGAAGAACAUCAAACCACUCGUAUCAGAUCUAUGAGCAUGUCCCAGUUGAGGUCCGUUGUUACAUCUGAACCUGCUAUUGGUGUAAUGCCGCCUUUCUCGAGCUUUGCUGUUUUGCGUGUAUUAGAUUUGACUGGAUGUGAUGUUAGUCGUCAUAAUCAUCUUAACCUUAGGGAGUUGGGGAGGUUACUUCACCUGAGGUACCUAGGUCUGUCCACAACAGGAAUUUCUGAUGUCCCGGAAGAAGUUGGAAAGUUACAGUUUUUGCAGGUGCUGGAUUUGAGGCAAAAUUUGGGUAUAAAAGAACUGCCAUCGUCUGUUACUCAACUGAGAAGAUUGAUGUGCCUACUUGUUGACUGUUGCUGCAAGCUUCCAGAUGGGUUUGGAAACCUGACAUCAAUGGAAGUGCUACAAGAGAUCUGUGGUGACUCUCGGAACGUUGUGGAAGAGCUGGGUAACAUGGAAAGGUUGAGGAAACUCAAUAUUUGGUUUAAUGGUUUGAGCUUGAAGCUGGAGGUAGCUUUGGUGGAGUCACUAGUGAAACUGUCCAAGAUCCAGAGUGUUGAAGUUGGGAUCCGUAGUGAUGAUCUUGAAUCCAUGUAUCUUUUGGGGGAACGCUGGGUGCCCCCUCGAAGUCUCCGGGAAUUUAGCAUAAUCGGAUCUGCCAAAUUCUCUAGGCUUCCGGCAUGGAUAAGGAGGAAUCCUUUGCGUCUGUCGGUUCUCUCCCAGUUAAAUAUCUUUGUCGAGGAACUAAGGCAGGAGGACAUGGGAUUGCUUGCAUGGUUACCAGCUCUCUGUAUUCUGGAGUUAUGGACCCUCCACCAAAGGCUGCUAGUCGUUGCUGCCGAUGGGUUCUGCUGUUUGACAUAUCUCACCCUGUUUUCGGAUUCGCCGGGCCAAGUUGUGUUCCAGCCAGGAGCUUUGCCCAGGGCUGAACAAGUUGCGCUCCGUAUCGGUUUGCGAGUUGCAAAAGAGGAAGCUGCUCGCAAUAGUGGUGAUUGGUUUGACCUUGGUAUGGGGAGCCUGCCGUCGCUGCGGAACGUCGAUGUCGAAUUCGACUAUUUGGGAAUGACGGUCAGGGAGGCCAAGCAAGCAGAGGCAGCACUGGAGAACGCUCUCCGUGCCCAUUCUAACUGUCCCACCUUUCGUAUACUCCCAGAGAUACCAGAAGGCGCUCAUGAUGAUGACGUCUACAUUGAGGACGACGGGUCAGAGUGA
rnacentral:rRNA from 1 species